rnacentral:lncRNA from 1 species
UUAGGGUUUUCAAGCUCCCAAGCUCCAUAGUAAGUGAUUCUAAGCCCCAUUUUUAAUGUUCUUUACGUUUUUAGAGUCCCGGUAACUUGAUUUUGCUUAUUCUAGCAAUAAUUUAAUCUAGGGUUUAUAUUUGGAAAAUAACCAUAUGUGAAUGUGUUUAUUUUGAUGUUUUAUGGUAGAAUAUGAAGCUAGAAAUUAUGUUAAGCAACUUUUGCUAAGCGAUUUUGAGUGAAAACGAGUAAAACGACAUAAUCGAUAAAAAUGCUAAAUGUUCAUAAGUGUUAGAGUGGGAAUUUGAUGUUGCCAUAGAAGGGAAAAAUGUUCAGCAUGUCAUAAUACAUAAGAAUAAGGGAUGAAGUUUAAUUUACGAGCUUUGGGGCAAAAGUGUAAAUAUGUAAAAGUUUAGGGGCAAAAUUGUAAUUUUGCCAAACUUUGAGUCAAGGACUGUUUUGAUAAAUGUGAGUACUAAAUAAGUCAAAUGUGUUAUUAUAGAUCAAGAAAGAAGUGGAAUCGACCUUGACCGGAGAAAAGAAAAGAUUAAAGACUAAAUUGCUAAAUUUUUAUAUUGUUGCAUCAAAGUAAGUUAUGUGUAAAUAAUAGUAAUAUAUUUUAUAAAUUGUGAAUUUUAUUUGAGAUGUGAAUCAAUAUUGAAUGUAGAAGGAAAAUUGUUCAUGAAUUAUUUAAGUGAUAAAGUGUUUAAAAUAAAGUGUUAAGUGUAAAUUCCCGGUUGAACUUAGGAAUAGAAGUGGAUACAAGUGACAUGUCACUAGAGAUCAGUGUUACAGUGUUACAGUGAGUCCCGGGUGCUGGGUGAUCUAGCAUGUGUUGCAGACACCUGACAGCUUGUGUGAGCAGGCCCGUGGACAUUUCCAGUGUUAUUGAUCAGUGGUAGCUUCGGCUACGUAUCAGUGGUAGCUUCGGCUACAUAUCAGUGGUAGCUUCGGCUACGUAUCAGUGGUAGCUUCAGCUACAUAUCAGUGUGGCACUUAUGUGCUAAUUCUCUACGUAUCCAUGUAUAUUCCGAGUGUUCAACGGGAAAUUGACUAAGUGUAAUUGAAUAAUGAAUAUAGGUGUGGAAUUGAAUUGAAUAUCGACUUAGAAAUGGAAAAGUGAAUUUUGAAUUGAAUUGUGAUUGAAAGUGACAAAGUGAAAUUAUGAAAGAGUACAUUUAGCAACAAAACAGUUUAGACAGCAACAGUUGUGUGACUUUGAAAAAUCACCAAAUGGUGGAAAUUUAAUUAGAGACUGAAUAAUAUAUGAAAUUGAAGCUGAAUGAGUCUAUUUUCACAUAAAAGAAAUAGAGAAAGCAAAAGAGUUAUAUAUUUUGAGAUAAUUGAAGUUUAAUUAGACAGAGUUAGAAUGAGUUUGGAAUCCCCUAUUUUGACUUUGGAAAAUUGUAAAAAAAUUGUACAAAAAUAAUUAUGAGAUAAAGUUUAUAUGUUUAGAAUUAUCAGCGAAUCUAUUUUUAGGAGAAACAAACGGAAACUAUAUUCGAAUUCUGUACAGUGAGAUAAUUAAUUUUUAGUGAAGAGAGGUCAGAACUGUCAAACAGUGAAACAGGGGAAACUUUAAAGAAUAAACUGUACUAUUUGGCUAAACCAAAAAUUCUAAAAAUUUUAUGGUAAGAAGAUAUGUGAAUCUAGUUUCAGAGAAAAUUUACGGAUCUUAAUUUGGAGUUCUGUAACUCCGGGUAAAAAUAAUUUAGUGAUUGUGACUCGAAUAGACAGCUUUGAAUAUACAUGUUAGUGAAUAGUGAAAUUAUAGUUAAUGUUGUUUAAAUGUGAUAUACACAUUAAGGAUGUGGAAUGGAGAGGAGGAGAAGGACAAUAAAAUUUAUGAAUGAAUUGUGUAUAAAUGGUCAUAUGCCCGAUUUUAAUCGGUAAAUGAUAAAUUGAAUGGUAAAUACGUAUUGGUACUGAAGAACUAUUGUGGUUUUGAAAAGCAAUUGACCAAAUGUUUAAAAAAAUUUAGUCAUGAUAUAUAUAUGUGUAUGAUAAUAAUAUAUGGAUGAUUAUAUCAUUGAGUUGCAUUGAUUAAUUCGGUUUUAUGUGAUGGAAAUGUCAAGAACAUUUGUCUUUGAUAUGUGAUGAUCAUGGUUUAAGCUCAUAUGGAAAAAUAAAGUUUCAUAGUAUGAGAGUGUGGUAUUGAAAUAUAUAUAUUGGAUUGAGAAAUUAAUUUGAAUUGUGAACACGAAAUAUUGUGAAUUGAAUAAAAUGGAAAUGGAGCUUUGAAUUACAUGAGUAAGUAUCGGGUCUCGUAGGCCCUAUUUUUUAUGAAUAUAAUAUUUUGAGGAUAUGUUAUAAAGAAUUAUAAAAGCAUGUUAAAAAUUUGAAGAGUUUAAAUUUGAAUGAAAUUUUGUAACUCGGUUUAAUACGUUUACAUGUGUAAGUGUUCUAGUAAUGCCUCAUACCUUAUUCCGGAGUUGAAUAUGGGUAAGGGGUGUUACAGAAUAUCUCUCCUCCUCCUCUGGAGGAGUUUUCAAGACUUAUCUUCAGUUCAACCUGAUAGGGAGGAAUCCUCUUUACAUAACAAACAAACUUAUUUUUAUGACUCAUAUAACAAAUAAACUUACUUUUUUGACUCAUACUAUAACAAACAAACUUACUUUUAUGACUCAUAUAACAAACAAACUUACUUUUAUAACUCAUACAAAAUAAUAAAACAUCUAAUUACUUUCAUAGUCUGUACUAACAUUAGAAGUGAGGUUCAGUUCUUCUAUCAUCUUUGCUUUUUCUUCUUUAGCUCUGUAGCACUUUAUCUCCAUCUGUUCAAUCGUUUGUUCAAGACCAUCACUUGAGCUGUCAAGAUUGUUUUCUACUUCCAUAGGUGAUGUAUUUUCCUGCGAAUUAGUCCAAGCUGGCGUGUUUUCUAUUGCACUGCUAGAAAACCAUGGAUAGUCUUGUGACCAUUCUUUUGGAUCUGGUAUAUUUGACUGGUAGUCUUCUAAUACCUUCUUCAAAUGUUCUUGAUAAGGUGUCGGUGGUUCAAUCCUUAUGUCCUAUGGUGCUAAUGUAUCUCCUGGGGGCCAUAUAUUUGUUGGAAUAAUUCUAUUUACCUGGCACAAAUAUUUUUGUAAAUCCUUAUAAUUAUAAGGAUUUGAACUAACCUUUAAAAAAAUGUUUUAUGUAUCCAAGCACUAAGAAAUGACCCUAAUUGUGUUGCUGGUCCAUUCUACAUAAAGUACUGAGGUUUCUAAAAGAUAAUUACAAUAUAUUGUACCCUG